rnacentral:rRNA from 1 species
GGUGAACGCUAGCUACAGGCUUAACACAUGCAAGUCGAGGGGCAGCAUUGGAGUAGCAAUACUUCAGAUGGCGACCGGCGCACGGGUGAGUAACACGUAUCCAACCUGCCGCUUACUCGGGGAUAGCCUUUCGAAAGAAAGAUUAAUACCCGAUGGUAUAAAGAGUUCGCAUGUUCUCUUUAUUAAAGAAUUUCGGUAAGCGAUGGGGAUGCGUUCCAUUAGAUAGUUGGCGGGGUAACGGCCCACCAAGUCUACGAUGGAUAGGGGUUCUGAGAGGAAGGUCCCCCACAUUGGAACUGAGACACGGUCCAAACUCCUACGGGAGGCAGCAGUGAGGAAUAUUGGUCAAUGGACGAGAGUUUGAACCAGCCAAGUAGCGUGAAGGAUGACUGCCCUAUGAGUUGUAAACUUCUUUUAUAAGGGAAUAAAGUGAGGGACGUGUCCCUUUUUGUAUGUACCUUAUGAAUAAGGAUCGGCUAACUCCGUGCCAGCCGCCGCGGUAACAC